UCCCCGCUCUCCUCCCCCUUUCUCUCCCCCUCCCCCCUCUAUCUCUCCCUCUCCUCUCUUUAUCUCUCCCUCUAUCACUCUUUCUCACUCCUUGGCCCAUCUUUCCCUCGCUGCCCCAGGACACAGACUUCGUUUCAGAGAGUUGGAAUGUUUUCAUCACAGUCACUGAGGAGUGAAUAACACAAAAUCUCAAAGCACUUUCAUGGUUUCCUCCACCUAGAAUAAGGAAGAGAUGAACUAGAUACACAUGCCUUGAACAAUUAAUAGACCAUGGCAACAAGAAGAUCCCAAAGUCAAGCAGACAGACAGAAAUGAGAGCAGAGACACCAGGCUUCCAUAUGCAUUCAGCUGUCUUGUGAACCCAGAGAUGUUCCCCUUCAAUGGUAAACCUAUUAUCUCUGAUAAAAAUGCACUGUCAGAAGCAUGACUACUCAGCCUUCUGUAAUACUUCCGUACAACAAAACAACAAAAGUCAAGACUUCACAUUAAAUCCUCCAGUGCGGUGUUUUUGAAUGUGUGCUUUCACAGCUCCUCUUUUUCUCUACUGAGUAAUUACUUCAUAGAAAUAAACAUUUUUAAAGAUCUA